rnacentral:rRNA from 1 species
CAGCAGCCGCGGUAAUACGUAGGUGGCAAGCGUUGUCCGGAAUUAUUGGGCGUAAAGGGCUCGCAGGCGGUUUCUUAAGUCUGAUGUGAAAGCCCCCGGCUCAACCGGGGAGGGUCAUUGGAAACUGAGAAACUUGAGUGCAGAAGAGGAGAGUGGAAUUCCACGUGUAGCGGUGAAAUGCGUAGAGAUGUGGAGGAACACCAGUGGCGAAGGCGACUCUCUGGUCUGUAACUGACGCUGAGGAGCGAAAGCGUGGGGAGCGAACAGGAUUAGAUACCCGCGUAGUCCCUGUCUCUUAUAC